rnacentral:sRNA from 1 species
UUAUGACCGAGUUAAUAUCUGAAUAUUAUUCGGCUGCGUUAUAACUUUUAGUUAGUUAUGGCUGAGUUAUCUGAACUAUACGGCUGAGUUAUCUGAAUAUUUUACGGCUGAGUUAUAUAAAUAUUUUAUGACUGAGUUAUAAACGCUGGUUAGUUAUGGCUUAGUUGUUUUCAUAUU